UACGUAGGGAGCGAGCGUUGUCCGGAAUUACUGGGUGUAAAGGGAGCGUAGGCGGGAAAGCAAGUCAGGUGUGAAAUAUACGGGCUCAACCUGUAGACUGCACUUGAAACUGUUUUUCUUGAGUGAAGUAGAGGCAGGCGGAAUUCCUAGUGUAGCGGUGAAAUGCGUAGAUAUUAGGAGGAACACCAGUGGCGAAGGCGGCCUGCUGGGCUUUUACUGACGCUGAGGCUCGAAAGCGUGGGGAGCAAAC
rnacentral:rRNA from 1 species